rnacentral:rRNA from 1 species
UACGGAGGGUGCAAACGUUGCUCGGAAUCAUUGGGCGUAAAGCGCACGUAGGCGGCGCGUUAAGUCGGGUGUGAAAGCCCUGGGCUCAACCCAGGAAGUGCAUUCGAAACUGGCGCGCUUGAAUAUGGAAGAGGGUCGCGGAAUUCCCGGUGUAGAGGUGAAAUUCGUAGAUAUCGGGAGGAACACCAGUGGCGAAGGCGGCGACCUGGGCCAAUACUGACGCUGAGGCGCGAAAGCGUGGGGAGCAAACAGG